UGAACGCUAGCUACAGGCUUAACACAUGCAAGUCGAGGGGCAGCAUGGUCUUAGCUUGCUAAGGCCGAUGGCGACCGGCGCACGGGUGAGUAACACGUAUCCAACCUGCCGUCUACUCUUGGACAGCCUUCUGAAAGGAAGAUUAAUACAAGAUGGCAUCAUGAGUCCGCAUGUUCACAUGAUUAAAGGUAUUCCGGUAGACGAUGGGGAUGCGUUCCAUUAGAUAGUAGGCGGGGUAACGGCCCACCUAGUCUUCGAUGGAUAGGGGUUCUGAGAGGAAGGUCCCCCACAUUGGAACUGAGACACGGUCCAAACUCCUACGGGAGGCAGCAGUGAGGAAUAUUGGUCAAUGGGCGCAGGCCUGAACCAGCCAAGUAGCGUGAAGGAUGACUGCCCUAUGGGUUGUAAACUUCUUUUAUAAAGGAAUAAAGUCGGGUAUGUAUACCCGUUUGCAUGUACUUUAUGAAUAAGGAUCGGCUAACUCCGUG
rnacentral:rRNA from 1 species